rnacentral:rRNA from 1 species
AACCGAGUCUUAAUUGGGCGUUAAGUUGCAGGGUAUAGACCCGAAACCCGGUGAUCUAGCCAUGGGCAGGUUGAAGGUUGGGUAACACUAACUGGAGGACCGAACCGACUAAUGUUGAAAAAUUAGCGGAUGACCUGUGGCUGGGGGUGAAAGGCCAAUCAAACCGGGAGAUAGCUGGUUCUCCCCGAAAGCUAUUUAGGUAGCGCCUCGUGAAUUCAUCUCCGGGGGUAGAGCACUGUUUCGGCUAGGGGGCCAUCCCGGCUUACCAACCCGAUGCAAACUGCGAAUACCGGAGAAUGUUAUCACGGGAGACACACGGCGGGUGCUAACGUCCGUCGUGAAGAGGGAAACAACCCAGACCGCCAGCUAAGGUCCCAAAGUCAUGGUUAAGUGGGAAACGAUGUGGGAAGGCCCAGACAGCCAGGAUGUUGGCUUAGAAGCAGCCAUCAUUUAAAGAAAGCGUAAUAGCUCACUGGUCGAGUCGGCCUGCGCGGAAGAUGUAACGGGGCUAAACCAUGCACCGAAGCUGCGGCAGCGACGCUGAUGCGUUGUUGGGUAGGGGAGCGUUCUGUAAGCCUGCGAAGGUGGCCUGUGAGGGUUGCUGGAGGUAUCAGAAGUGCGAAUGCUGACAUAAGUAACGAUAAAGCGGGUGAAAAGCCCGCUCGCCGGAAGACCAAGGGUUCCUGUCCAACGUUAAUCGGGGCAGGGUGAGUCGACCCCUAAGGCGAGGCCGAAAGGCGUAGUCGAUGGGAAACGGGUUAAUAUUCCCGUACUUGGUGUUACUGCGAAGGGGGGACGGAGAAGGCUAUGUUGGCCGGGCGACGGUUGUCCCGGUUUAAGCGUGUAGGCUGGUUUUCCAGGCAAAUCCGGAAAAUCAAGGCUGAGGCGUGAUGACGAGGCACUACGGUGCUGAAGCAACAAAUGCCCUGCUUCCAGGAAAAGCCUCUAAGCAUCAGGUAACAUCAAAUCGUACCCCAAACCGACACAGGUGGUCAGGUAGAGAAUACCAAGGCGCUUGAGAGAACUCGGGUGAAGGAACUAGGCAAAAUGGUGCCGUAACUUCGGGAGAAGGCACGCUGACACGUAGGUGAAGUGAUUUACUCAUGGAGCUGAAGUCAGUCGAAGAUACCAGCUGGCUGCAACUGUUUAUUAAAAACACAGCACUGUGCAAACACGAAAGUGGACGUAUACGGUGUGACGCCUGCCCGGUGCCGGAAGGUUAAUUGAUGGGGUCAGCGCAAGCGAAGCUCCUGAUCGAAGCCCCGGUAAACGGCGGCCGUAACUAUAACGGUCCUAAGGUAGCGAAAUUCCUUGUCGGGUAAGUUCCGACCUGCACGAAUGGCGUAAUGAUGGCCAGGCUGUCUCCACCCGAGACUCAGUGAAAUUGAACUCGCUGUGAAGAUGCAGUGUACCCGCGGCAAGACGGAAAGACCCCGUGAACCUUUACUAUAGCUUGACACUGAACAUUGAGCCUUGAUGUGUAGGAUAGGUGGGAGGCUUUGAAGUGUGGACGCCAGUCUGCAUGGAGCCGACCUUGAAAUACCACCCUUUAAUGUUUGAUGUUCUAACGUGGACCCGUUACCCGGGUUGCGGACAGUGUCUGGUGGGUAGUUUGACUGGGGCGGUCUCCUCCUAAAGAGUAACGGAGGAGCACGAAGGUUGGCUAAUCCUGGUCGGACAUCAGGAGGUUAGUGCAAUGGCAUAAGCCAGCUUGACUGCGAGCGUGACGGCGCGAGCAGGUGCGAAAGCAGGUCAUAGUGAUCCGGUGGUUCUGAAUGGAAGGGCCAUCGCUCAACGGAUAAAAGGUACUCCGGGGAUAACAGGCUGAUACCGCCCAAGAGUUCAUAUCGACGGCGGUGUUUGGCACCUCGAUGUCGGCUCAUCACAUCCUGGGGCUGAAGUAGGUCCCAAGGGUAUGGCUGUUCGCCAUUUAAAGUGGUACGCGAGCUGGGUUUAGAACGUCGUGAGACAGUUCGGUCCCUAUCUGCCGUGGGCGCUGGAGAACUGAGGGGGGCUGCUCCUAGUACGAGAGGACCGGAGUGGACGCAUCACUGGUGUUCGGGUUGUCAUGCCAAUGGCACUGCCCGGUAGCUAAAUGCGGAAGAGAUAAGUGCUGAAAGCAUCUAAGCACGAAACUUGCCCCGAG